rnacentral:misc_RNA from 1 species
UUUCCGUAGGUGAACCUGCGGAAGGAUCAUUAUCGAGUACCGGGUCCUCUGGGCCCUUACUCCCACCCUUUGUGUACCUACCACUUUUUCGUUGCCUUGGCGGGGUCGAUCCCUGGGGCCUCACGGCUCCGCGGGGACUCGUCAUGGGGACAAUUCUAAACUAUUGUUAACCGUGAAGUCUGAGAAAAUCUUAAUAAAUUAAAACUUUCAACAACGGAUCUCUUGGUUCUGGCAUCGAUGAAGAACGCAGC